CCCGCGUGCAGGAUGACGGCCCUACGGGUUGUAAACUGCUUUUAUGUACCAAGAAUAGGCGCUACGUGUAGUGUUAUGACGGUAGUACAUGAAUAAGCAUCGGCUAACUCCGUGCCAGCAGCCGCGGUAAUACGGAGGAUGCAAGCGUUAUCCGGAUUCAUUGGGUUUAAAGGGUGCGUAGGCGGCCAUAUAAGUCAGUGGUGAAAUGCUGCAGCUCAACUGUAGAACUGCCAUUGAAACUGUAUGGCUUGAGUGCGCCUGAGGUAGGCGGAAUGAGUAGUGUAGCGGUGAAAUGCUUAGAUAUUACUCAGAACACCGAUUGCGAAGGCAGCUUACUAAAGCG
rnacentral:rRNA from 1 species